GUUCAACCCCGGGGUUGAAAUUUCAACACGGCUAGCUGAAGCAGGGUUGAAAUUUCAACCCCGGGGUUGAAC